ensembl:snRNA U6 U6 spliceosomal RNA
GUUCUGACUUUGGCAGCACAUAUACUAAAAUUACAACACAGAGAAGAUUAGCAUGGCCCUUGCGAAAGGAUGGCAUGCAAAUUCGUGAAGAGUUCCAUAUUUUU